GUGACGUUGACGUGGAAAUCUCGGUGAGAGGAGGGCAUAAGACGUUGACGUAUAAAACUCCAAACGGCAACGUCCUUGACGUCACCCACGUUCUCUAAAGCGAGGAUGUCAUCGUCAACAUUCCCGGACAGAAUGAAGUGUGCAACGUCAGACAACUUCAACAGACCAUCAAUGACGUGGAAGGGAGUUUGACCUGCACAGAACGAGUAGCGAUGACCGAUGAAGAGCUGUCACCGAGGCUUGCCGAGAUUUGCCGAGGAAAGGCGGUGUUUGCCGAGAAAUACGCGCCUUGUCAGCCCCGAACAGGUCAGCCCCAAACAGGUCAGCCCCGAAUACGUCGAGAUUAUGUCUGCGAGCCAGUUUGCCGGCUGUGUUCUUCAGGUUUAUGCUGUGAAAUCCGCUGUACAGGGGAGGGCCGCCUGUGUUGAAGUUUGGGAGAGUCUGACUUGCAGUAAAACCUAAAUAAAGGUCCCUUUGCCUAGCAUAACCAUUCGGAUAUUUUUCGCCGUCUGUAGGUUCGGUGCUUACAUUGCUAAAAGCAUCUGUUACAUUUUGUUUGGUAAUAACUGCCUUUGUUAAAUCAUCAUAGUGAUAUCAAGGCUUUAACUUUCAAUUCCAUUAAUUAAACAUAAGAAAUAAAAUAUAUUCAACCGAUAACUGUAUAUUGACUGGAAUGUGUGGCAUUUAUUUUAAAUAUGCUUAUCCAUAUGACGUUGUUUUCGCUUCUAGCCCAUAUUUCGUAU